GACGAACGCUGGCGGCGUGCCUAAUACAUGCAAGUUGAGCGCUGAAGGUUGGUACUUGUACCCACUGGAUGAGCAGCGAACGGGUGAGUAACGCGUGGGGAAUCUGCCUUUGAGCGGGGGACAACAUUUGGAAACGAAUGCUAAUACCGCAUAAAAACUUUAAACACAAGUUUUAAGUUUGAAAGAUGCAAUUGCAUCACUCAAAGAUGAUCCCGCGUUGUAUUAGCUAGUUGGUGAGGUAAAGGCUCACCAAGGCGAUGAUACAUAGCCGACCUGAGAGGGUGAUCGGCCACAGUGGGACUGAGACACGGCCCAAACUCCUACGGGAGGCAGCAGUAGGGAAUCUUCGGCAAUGGACGAAAGUCUGACCGAGCAACGCCGCGUGAGGGAAGAAGGUUGUCGGAUCGUAAAACUCGGUUGGUAGAGAAGAACGUUGGUGAGAGUGGAAAGCUCAUCAAGUGACGGUAACUACCCAGAAAGGGACGGCUAACUACGUG
rnacentral:rRNA from 1 species